rnacentral:tRNA from 1 species
ACCUAAGUAUAGCACAGUGGUUUGAGCAUUAGACUAUGACUCUGGAGACCAGGGUUUGAAUCCCCACUUGGCCA